rnacentral:rRNA from 1 species
AGACCCGAAACCCGGUGAUCUAGCCAUGGGCAGGUUGAAGGUUGGGUAACACUAACUGGAGGACCGAACCGACUAAUGUUGAAAAAUUAGCGGAUGACCUGUGGCUGGGGGUGAAAGGCCAAUCAAACCGGGAGAUAGCUGGUUCUCCCCGAAAGCUAUUUAGGUAGCGCCUCGUGAAUUCAUCUCCGGGGGUAGAGCACUGUUUCGGCUAGGGGGCCAUCCCGGCUUACCAACCCGAUGCAAACUGCGAAUACCGGAGAAUGUUAUCACGGGAGACACACGGCGGGUGCUAACGUCCGUCGUGAAGAGGGAAACAACCCAGACCGCCAGCUAAGGUCCCAAAGUCAUGGUUAAGUGGGAAACGAUGUGGGAAGGCCCAGACAGCCAGGAUGUUGGCUUAGAAGCAGCCAUCAUUUAAAGAAAGCGUAAUAGCUCACUGGUCGAGUCGGCCUGCGCGGAAGAUGUAACGGGGCUAAACCAUGCACCGAAGCUGCGGCAGCGAAGGUAUCACCCAAGACAACUUUACGGAGUUGACGAUUGACGGAGCGAAGCGACGUCAAAGCGUAUACAAAGUCGAGUUGGCUUAGGGAUACGUUCGUUGGGUAGGGGAGCGUUCUGUAAGCCUGUGAAGGUGGCCUGUGAGGGUUGCUGGAGGUAUCAGAAGUGCGAAUGCUGACAUAAGUAACGAUAAAGCGGGUGAAAAGCCCGCUCGCCGGAAGACCAAGGGUUCCUGUCCAACGUUAAUCGGGGCAGGGUGAGUCGACCCCUAAGGCGAGGCCGAAAGGCGUAGUCGAUGGGAAACGGGUUAAUAUUCCCGUACUUGGUGUUACUGCGAAGGGGGGACGGAGAAGGCUAUGUUGGCCGGGCGACGGUUGUCCCGGUUUAAGCGUGUAGGUGUGUGUUCCAGGUAAAUCCGGUUCACUUUAACACUGAGGCGUGACGACGAGGCACUACGGUGCUGAAGCAACAAAUGCCCUGCUUCCAGGAAAAGCCUC